CACACUGGCACUGAGACACGGGCCAGACUCCUACGGGAGGCAGCAGUGAGGAAUUUUGCGCAAUGGGGGCAACCCUGACGCAGCAACGCCGCGUGUGGGAAGAAGGCUUUCGGGUUGUAAACCACUUUUGUAAGGGACGAAGGCUCCUGGAUUAAUACCCUGGGAGGAUGACGGUACCUUUCGAAUAAGCCACGGCUAACUCUGUGCCAGCCGCCGCAGUAACAC
rnacentral:rRNA from 1 species